ACUUAAUUAAUAAAAAUAAAAUAACAACAUGAAAAUGAAUGCAUUGUUCUUUGUUUACGCGUGUUUUGGAACGCGCCGAAUGAACCGAACGAACCAAGAAUGAGUUCGAUUGAGGGAGAUGGGACAUACUGGCCAGUCGCUCCUAGGCUGAUGCGAGCGUGUUACCUCUGACCACUUUCCGUCCUGUCAAGCGUCCUAGCAGACACGGCCGUUAAAUUCAAAUUUAAAAAAAAAAAUAAGUUGAGAGUGUUCAAGUUGAAUACUUGCACUUAAUAUUGUCGUGAAGAUCCCGAAUUAGGGCUUUUUCUUCCGGCUUUAAGGAGCCAGCAGCAUCCUCGCGUUCGGGCCUGCCUACCAACCGAGGUCAUCCGAGGAGCCCGCUUCCGGCAACACCAGUCGCACGUGCGCGCCAUCUCCAUCACCGGUGAAGUCACCGUACAGCUCAGCACUGAACCUCGGCCUACUUCCAUCUCCGGCCAGCGGCGGAAUCCCGCCACAACUACAGGGGUACCUAUCCCUGCAGAGGUGACUACAGACAAAGUUGUAAUCCACGACCCAUAAAUCUUCGUGUGCCUCCGGCUGUGUUUUUUUUUUAUAUAAUAUAAAUUUUGAAGGUACACACCCGUUUUAUUUUUUUUAUUAAUCACCUACCUAGGUGGGAAUAAACGGGUGGAGGUUACACUGGCGCCCAAUUACGUGGUUUUGUCUGUUCUCGCUUCUGUAGUUAGUAGUUAGUUAUUGUACGGUGAGUGGGUAAUUUUAUUUUUUUUAUUUUGUAAAACGCUUUGUGUGUUUGUUUGCAUCAACUGGAGUGAAGUCUUAUAAUCUCAUCAUUUCCGUUAUUUUAGUAUAUUGUGUUAACGUUAAAAAAAAAAAAAAAAAAAAAAAAAAAA